rnacentral:rRNA from 1 species
CUGGGAUAACUCCGGGAAACCGGAGCUAAUACCGGAUAGUUCCUUGAACCGCAUGGUUCAAGGAUGAAAGACGGUUUCGGCUGUCACUUACAGAUGGACCCGCGGCGCAUUAGCUAGUUGGUGGGGUAAUGGCUCACCAAGGCGACGAUGCGUAGCCGACCUGAGAGGGUGAUCGGCCACACUGGGACUGAGACACGGCCCAGACUCCUACGGGAGGCAGCAGUAGGGAAUCUUCCGCAAUGGACGAAAGUCUGACGGAGCAACGCCGCGUGAGUGAUGAAGGUUUUCGGAUCGUAAAGCUCUGUUGUUAGGGAAGAACAAGUGCGAGAGUAACUGCUCGCACCUUGACGGUACCUAACCAGAAAGCCACGGCUAACUACGUGCCAGCAGCCGCGGUAAUACGUAGGUGGCAAGCGUUGUCCGGAAUUAUUGGGCGUAAAGGGCUCGCAGGCGGUUUCUUAAGUCUGAUGUGAAAGCCCCCGGCUCAACCGGGGAGGGUCAUUGGAAACUGGGAAACUUGAGUGCAGAAGAGGAGAGUGGAAUUCCACGUGUAGCGGUGAAAUGCGUAGAANNU